rnacentral:rRNA from 1 species
GAUGAACGCUGGCGGCGUGCCUAAUACAUGCAAGUCGAGCGAACAGACGAGGAGCUUGCUCCUCUGACGUUAGCGGCGGACGGGUGAGUAACACGUGGAUAACCUACCUAUAAGACUGGGAUAACUUCGGGAAACCGGAGCUAAUACCGGAUAAUAUAUUGAACCGCAUGGUUCAAUAGUGAAAGACGGUUUUGCUGUCACUUAUAGAUGGAUCCGCGCCGCAUUAGCUAGUUGGUAAGGUAACGGCUUACCAAGGCAACGAUGCGUAGCCGACCUGAGAGGGUGAUCGGCCACACUGGAACUGAGACACGGUCCAGACUCCUACGGGAGGCAGCAGUAGGGAAUCUUCCGCAAUGGGCGAAAGCCUGACGGAGCAACGUCGCGUGAGUGAUGAAGGUCUUCGGAUCGUAAAACUCUGUUAUUAGGGAAGAACAAAUGUGUAAGUAACUAUGCACGUCCUGACGGUACCUAAUCAGAAAGCCACGGCUAACUACGUG